rnacentral:lncRNA from 1 species
CAACACGAAAACAAUAAAAAAAGCAAUCUUAAAUAGCGAUAUUUACCUGUCUGAUUGUUAAAUGGUUUAUUUCAUCUGAGUUACAAAACUCUUUGAAGUUUCUUAGAACGAAAUCAGCGGCUGUCUCAUGUAAACCAGUUAAACUAUGAAGAAUGAUAAAGAAGAUAUGGUACCGCCAAAUGACGAUUUACACAACUGAAAAGUGUUACCAGGAAUUAGGAGUUGUCCCAGAUCGCCCCGAAGCGGCCGCCCACCAAACGACGCAACUCCGAAAGCGGUUAUAAGCUCAAAUGUAAAUUACCUCGUAAUCGCCAACGGUUAAUGAGAAAAAUAACCACUGAUAUAAUAUAAUAAACCGUAAAUGGCUACGAACAGUGCGACAAUGCUCCGUUUGGUCGUCAAGGGUUGCACUCAACGACUUCUUCACAAACGGAAAGAUUUUCACUACUGAAGGUGCUCAUAAUCGUCAAAAUCAACGCCAGCUUAUUAAAAAGUUGAGAAGAAGUAGUGUGUUGUAAAAACUAUCACCUGUAGACACUUUCCAACUUCAGUAAUGGCGUGGGCAUGCAAUUGUGCUGCAGGAAAAACAAUUAGUUUGUGUUAGUAAGAGUGUCAAAAUUAAAAAAACUAUUUUAGGAGAUGUUCUGGAACCGUAGUCACUAUGUUUUCGCAGAGAUAGUUUUGUUCUGCAACAAGACUGGGUUCCUCUUUAUUUGGCUAGAUUCCUUACGGCACACAUUUCAUCUUUGUCCUGGCCUCCUAAUUUACUAAAUUUGAGCCCGCUGGAUUAAUCUAUCUGGCCAAUCUUGAAACAUAAGAUAAGGUACUGCACAAUCGACAUGUACUGCAUUGAAGUAUGGAAAAAGCAGUUUAUCAGUGCACGAAAUCCUAAGAAUUUGAGAUUCUUUCCAAAAGAGUAGAAGAACGGUAUUAUUGUUAAAAUCUCGAAAGGCCAUACCUGCUUAAAUAUGACAACUGGAAGGGGAUUUACAUGCUCCCUGGUGCCGUAAAAAUAAUAGCGAAAAUAAUCCACAAACGCAACAAAGAACACGUGGAAAGUUCCUAAAAGGUGACUAAAAGAGAUAGAAAUUUGUGGACUAGCAACUUGCAAACUUUGAAAUUAUACUGCUACCGAAACAUCAACUACGCCUCAGAUAGGCGACUAUGACCUUUGGCUAGCGAAAAGGCUUAUGAAAUUUGUGAAUGCUCUUCGACAACGAUAUCGUGGAUCUCCCGAAUGCUCACUUUCUCCAACUCGAGUGAGAACUCCAGCGAUAUAAGUCGGACAUUCUGGGCCUAAGCGAAUUAAGAUGGUGGAACUAUGGAGAGAACUCCUCUCCCUUUUGCGGCAAUGUGCUUUUGUACUCUGGAAUGCCAAGUGAUAGUACACGCGAAUUCUUAUAGUGCUCUCUUGUGCUGGCAGUCAGUUUCUGACUGGAUCAUUUCGGUCCAGGGUAAGGGGUAACACCACUGUAGAAUUUCUACGGAAACCUUAUUAAAACCUGUUCCAUGUCCGUCUGUCACAUGUACUUUUCUCAGAAACGACUAUACCGAUUGACACGAAAUUUGGCGAAAAGGUGGCAACUGUGAACGCCCAAACAUGGAGUGAGUAAUGUCUUUCUACGUUCAAUUAAAAUGAGGAGGGGGUCUUUAUGCAUGCAAAUGAGGAGAGUAUUUUUUCACCGAAUAUAUUCAUGUUGGAUAUCAAAUGAAAGGUUUGUACUUUUCGAUGCCAGUCUUAGUUUUGACAUUUGCUGGGAAAAACAAAGAACAGCGCCAAGCUUCUGGUUUCCCGACUUGUUUUUAUUGGCUUAAAAAAUACUUUGACCUCGCCUCGUUCAUGUCAAUAAAACGUGUCAAAAUUUUAAAUGCAUCUUUCUCAUAACACGAUUUCUUAAAAUGCCAGCAUAACUUGAACAAUUUUCAAUAUUUCUACUUGAAAAUUUAAGCACAUCUUCACAACAAAGAAGAAGAAACAUUUCGAAGAGAAUGACAUAGGGAAUUUCUGAUUACAACU